rnacentral:lncRNA from 1 species
CCAAGCUUUCAUUAUUUUUGCAUGCUCUUGAUGUACACCCUCAGCAGUCAGUGUCUAUUUUGGGCAGGUAUUUUUCUUCUCAGCAGCACCAGCAGCAUAAGAGUAAAUAAUAGUGCUCCACUGCCUCUGUGACGCCUCCCCUGUUAUCAAGCUUCAGUGACGAGGUUAAAAACAUGAAACUGGAUUAUACAAACCAGACGUGGAGGUGUGAUGACUUGUCAGACUAGAGAGGAAAAUUUGUGAACAUGUGUCAAGUGCCCACCAGUGAUGAAGCUCCAGCCCUGUAUUUAAUAUGACAGAAAUUAAACUCGUGCAUAUGUUCACUUUAGCAGUUAUUGCUGUGCAUGGAUGCAUUUUAAGGCAUUCAGGAACAUGAGGGGAUCUGUUUAUCAGAGUUUGCAAGAGAGAGACAGAAAGUAAUGAAUGUAGUUAGAUGGAGGUGGCAGAGGAGAGUGAUGGAUCGCCUGUGAGCUGCAGGCUGGGUCCCCGGGGAGGGACGCUGCUGCAUCCUACCAUAGAAGGACAACUUAGAGUAAUUGGGUCACUGGCACUGGGAGGGGAGUCUCCACCAAGCUAUUCUUUAAGGGAGAAAGACAUAGAAGGAAAGUUCAGUUGAAAGGAAGCCCAAUGAAGGACACACCACAGACCUUACAUGCUGGAUAAGAGCAAAGCUUGGAGAGAGAGAACUGGUCAUCUCUGAUGUGGAUUUUAUGAAACUGAGCUGUGAAGAGUGAAGACUAACAAAAAAGUCUGAGCACCUUUUGAAUUGUGGGACCAAAAUGUCUUUGCAACACCGUCUCUGAUUCAAGAGUAGCUUGAAGAUGAGGAAUCUCCGUGAUGGUGAUCAGAAGCAACAACUGGAUAACUGAGGGGGGUCAGAUAUUUCCAAAUAAACUUUAUGAAUGUUGUCAGAAAAUUCUGGUCUACAUGUUAUAAUCCAUCAUCUAUUUAAUUAUCAGACAG